UAGAGAUAUAGAAACUAAGAUGGAUAGAGGUUAUUUAACCUUCUCAAGUGCGUUAAGCUAGUCACAUUAGAGUCAGGAUUUGAACCCAGGCAGUCUGGCUUCAACGCCAAGCUUCCCCUCAAUCACUUCUACCAUCAGAUAAUAUUGCUUCAUACUCACAGUGUUAGCACCAAGAAUGUAAGUUUAGCUAACUGAUCAUAUGAAUUUUGUUGAAAUUCUGUUGAUUUUUCUUCCAGAGAACUCAAUAUGGAACACUUUUUCUCUUUUGAUUCAGACAACCUAUGGAGAUUUUGAUCCUGUACUGAAAGGAACUGAAUGUGGAAAUUUUUGGAGUGUCCAUUCAAUGCCUCCCUGGAGUCUCUGCCAAAGGAAACAUUAGACACGACUCUGUCUGGAUCCAGCUACUACAUCUAUGAUGCUGUGGAUGUGGUGGCCUGAGCCCUCCAUGAAAUACUUUUUAUAAAAGCAGAACAGGGGUCCAUAAUGGAUGCAGGCCAGCUCAUGUUUCUCCCUUAGCAGGUUGCAAGUAAACCUCUAAUGAUUGUAGGGUCUAAUUAGCAACAGUGUCAACUCUUUUAACUAGAAAUAAUUGAUUAAAAACUUUCACUGUGAGAGGUAGGAAGAAGCAGGCUGUCUUUCUUUGUCUCUUCUUGAGCUCGAGGAAACUCCCUAGCACCCCUAAAGCAAACCUCAUUGCUCAAGGUGCAGCUCAGGUUUAGCCCCACAGCACUCCCUGGACGUGGAAUCUUCAGGAAUGGUUUAAACAUCACCAUGUGCUCUCUGAGGGCAGACAAGAAUGCCUGCUUCCUUAAGCGUGCAGAAUAGUAAACACUCCCCAAAUUGAACUUAUUCAGAGGAUGACUAAUAUAGAGGGGAAAAAAUCUAAUUGCUGGGCAACUCAGUAUCCCCACCAGUUCGAAUCUGGGUUUUCUGCCUUCAAUUUCCAUGCUCAUUUCAUUUCCCAAUUAUGUCUCCCUUUUAGCUCCACCCAUUCCUAAGAAACACCCAAUUUAAAAAAAGCACUGGAGCGCACGUGUCACUGGAUGAGAAAAGAAACUCUGUGUCACAGCAUGUAAUUCUGAACUAUAUGAUUUUCCUAAAGGUCUUGGACUUCAGGUGAAAGACGUUCUGUCAGCCAGGAUUCAGGAACAUCCCUCAGGAAGAGAGAGCUACCUGCUGCUUUGUCUGUGUAUUGUGCCCAGAGAGAGAAAUAUGUAAUCAGACAGAAAAGAAAAGUGUCUGUGGGGCUCAAGUUUGAGUUGAAACCAGGCUCAGGGUCCACCUGUCCUCGCUGAUCCGUGGAUUUCUGUGUGACCAGCUGACACCUAUGGAGCUGUGGCCCUGACUACUACCACUUUGGGACACAACCUGAAGACCCUCACAGUCACCUUCCCCAUCUCCACCCUCCAGUAUUCAUCAGACA